rnacentral:lncRNA from 1 species
UUCCCCUCCAAUAUCAAUGACUUCAGUAGCACUCAGUGUCAAGACUUCUGUAUUAUGAAACCGAAGAUAAAGAUAUAAUCACAGCUCAGCUACACUUGUUAAUGAGCUACCUUGGACUAGAAAUGAUAUCAGCGGCAUUGCUAUUAACAAGUUAAAUAACACCACGUGCAUUACUUACAACACAGUGUUCUUGAAGAUCACUGAGAAGCAGUGAUGAGCACAGUGAUUGCACCAUGUGAUAUGUGAGCAUCAGCUGUGGGAGUCAGGGAAACAUUGGAUGAGUUGCAUGGAGGAUGAGAUUCUUCUACAUACCAAGGUAUUUAUAUACCAUCUCUGUCCAAGCACACAGUUCACAAGAUGCCUUUCUCAGAGAU